UUCCUGAGUUUGUGAUCGGAAAGGGCGCAUCUUUUCACAAAGGAGCAUUUCCAUGUCUUUAUCUGUUGAGCAGAAGGCCAAGAUCGUUACUGAGUUCGCACGCGGCGA
rnacentral:ncRNA from 1 species